GAUGAACGCUAGCGGCAGGCCUAACACAUGCAAGUCGAGGGGUAACAGGAAAAAGCUUGCUUUUUCGCUGACGACCGGCGCACGGGUGCGUAACACGUAUGCAACCUACCCUUAACAGGGGGAUAGCCCAGAGAAAUCUGGAUUAAUACCCCAUAACAUCUCAAAUUCGCAUGUUUUUGAGAUUAAAACUCCGGUGGUUAAGGAUGGGCAUGCGGCCCAUUAGUUUGUUGGUGAGGUAACGGCUCACCAAGACUACGAUGGGUAGGGGGUCUGAGAGGAUGAUCCCCCACACUGGUACUGAGACACGGACCAGACUCCUACGGGAGGCAGCAGUGAGGAAUAUUGCGCAAUGGACGAAAGUCUGACGCAGCCAUGCCGCGUGCAGGAAGACGGCCCUACGGGUUGUAAACUGCUUUUAUUUGGGAAGAAACCCUCCUACGUGUAGGGGGCUGACGGUACCAAACGAAUAAGCACCGGCUAACUCCG
rnacentral:rRNA from 1 species